CCGGGGCCUCGGUAAAACUUAGUAUACCGCUGGAAGUCACGACUCUCUCGGUAAACGCAUCCUCUCAGUACCAGAAAUGUAUAAAGAUGCUCAUUCGGUGCAAGGUAGUCAUCACUCGAGAUCAUGCAAGAAACCUCUUCAGCUUCGCUCCUCACUAACGCUCUGAUCCACCCCGAGGGUCAGAACGCAAGCUCCAACCCACAACAUGGCAUACGCUUCUUUGACCUCACAGGUGUGGAGCAAGAAAAUGUACUUUUAACACCGUUGAACUACGGUUUUUUUGAUGGGAACGUUCUAUAAGAUAAUGAAGGAGUCCUCAGAAGAACUUGAAGUGAAGCACACCUCCCUCAGUCCGGGAAAAGUUACAGAAAUCAUCUUUUUCUUUCGCCCGACGGCUGCAAAAUCCUUUUUGCAAAAUUAAGAUUGGUUUGCUUUUCUACAUUGAAACGUUUUACAACAUUUUUCUUUUAAAUGUGCAUACUGUUUGUUUUCAAAGGCUAUUUCUACCACAAAAUCCAAGAAUGGAACCCUUCCCAUGAUUACUGGCUCUUCUACAACCUAAUCGACGGCAAAAUAUUUACUAAUGUUUAUCGGAGUAUUGUUUUUUUAAAACAAUGAUUUUAUUCUUGUGUUUUUGCCCCCAAAAAACAGCAAGCGGUCUA